rnacentral:rRNA from 1 species
GGCGGCAGGCCUAACACAUGCAAGUCGAGCGGUAACAGAAAGUAGCUUGCUACUUUGCUGACGAGCGGCGGACGGGUGAGUAAUGCUUGGGAACAUGCCUUGAGGUGGGGGACAACAGUUGGAAACGACUGCUAAUACCGCAUAAUGUCUACGGACCAAAGGGGGCUUCGGCUCUCGCCUUUAGAUUGGCCCAAGUGGGAUUAGCUAGUUGGUGAGGUAAUGGCUCACCAAGGCGACGAUCCCUAGCUGGUUUGAGAGGAUGAUCAGCCACACUGGGACUGAGACACGGCCCAGACUCCUACGGGAGGCAGCAGUGGGGAAUAUUGCACAAUGGGCGCAAGCCUGAUGCAGCCAUGCCGCGUGUGUGAAGAAGGCCUUCGGGUUGUAAAGCACUUUCAGUCAGGAGGAAAGGUUAGUAGUUAAUACCUGCUAGCUGUGACGUUACUGACAGAAGAAGCACCGGCUAACUCCGUGCCAGCAGCCGCGGUAAUACGGAGGGUGCGAGCGUUAAUCGGAAUUACUGGGCGUAAAGCGUACGCAGGCGGUUUGUUAAGCGAGAUGUGAAAGCCCCGGGCUCAACCUGGGAACUGCAUUUCGAACUGGCAAACUAGAGUGUGAUAGAGGGUGGUAGAAUUUCAGGUGUAGCGGUGAAAUGCGUAGAGAUCUGAAGGAAUACCGAUGGCGAAGGCAGCCACCUGGGUCAACACUGACGCUCAUGUACGAAAGCGUGGGGAGCAAACGGGAUUAGAUACCCCGGUAGUCCACGCCGUAAACGAUGUCUACUAGAAGCUCGGAGCCUCGGUUCUGUUUUUCAAAGCUAACGCAUUAAGUAGACCGCCU